rnacentral:lncRNA from 1 species
CCAGAUGGAAGCUUUCCUCCUUUGGGGUCACGGGUGGAAAAAAGACUGUGUGAAACCAUGGAUGGCCUGCAACCACUUUGAAGAGGAAGAUGAUCAUGUCUCUUCACAAUUCUCAGGCUUGGCAUGGCCUUAUUGAAGUUUAUUCUGAGAAUCCAUUUAAAGGGAUGGAAGAUUGAUGUCCAUGGCAUCCUCUGAACCUAAGAUCCUAAGACAUGUCACCCAUAAUCUGGUCACACCAUCCAAAAGAAACCCUGAAGGCACAGG